UACGAAGGGGGCUAGCGUUGUUCGGAAUACUGGGCGUAAAGCGUGCGCAGGCGGCUUCUCAAGUCAGGGGUGAAAGCCCAGAGCUCAACUCUGGAAUUGCCUUUGAGACUGAGUGGCUUGAGUACGGGAGAGGUGAGUGGAAUUCCCAGUGUAGAGGUGAAAUUCGUAGAUAUUGGGAAGAACACCGGUGGCGAAGGCGGCUCACUGGCUCGUAACUGACGCUCAUGCACGACAGCGUGGGGAUCAAACAGG
rnacentral:rRNA from 1 species